rnacentral:rRNA from 1 species
GACGAACGCUGGCUUCGUGCUUAACACAUGCAAGUCGAACGGAAAGGCCCUGCUUUUGUGGGGUGCUCGAGUGGCGAACGGGUGAGUAACACGUGAGUAACCUGCCCUUGACUUUGGGAUAACUUCAGGAAACUGGGGCUAAUACCGGAUAGGAGCUCCUGCUGCAUGGUGGGGGUUGGAAAGUUUCGGCGGUUGGGGAUGGACUCGCGGCUUAUCAGCUUGUUGGUGGGGUAGUGGCUUACCAAGGCUUUGACGGGUAGCCGGCCUGAGAGGGUGACCGGCCACAUUGGGACUGAGAUACGGCCCAGACUCCUACGGGAGGCAGCAGUGGGGAAUAUUGCACAAUGGGCGGAAGCCUGAUGCAGCAACGCCGCGUGCGGGAUGACGGCCUUCGGGUUGUAAACCGCUUUCGCCUGUGACGAAGCGUGAGUGACGGUAAUGGGUAAAGAAGCACCGGCUAACUACGUGCCAGCAGCCGCGGUGAUACGUAGGGUGCGAGCGUUGUCCGGAUUUAUUGGGCGUAAAGGGCUCGUAGGUGGUUGAUCGCGUCGGAAGUGUAAUCUUGGGGCUUAACCCUGAGCGUGCUUUCGAUACGGGUUGACUUGAGGAAGGUAGGGGAGAAUGGAAUUCCUGGUGGAGCGGUGGAAUGCGCAGAUAUCAGGAGGAACACCAGUGGCGAAGGCGGUUCUCUGGGCCUUUCCUGACGCUGAGGAGCGAAAGCGUGGGGAGCGAACAGGCUUAGAUACCCUGGUAGUCCACGCUGUAAACGGUGGGUACUAGGUGUGGGGUCCAUUCCACGGGUUCCGUGCCGUAGCUAACGCUUUAAGUACCCCGCCUGGGGAGUACGGCCGCAAGGCUAAAACUCAAAGGAAUUGACGGGGCCCCGCACAAGCGGCGGAGCAUGCGGAUUAAUUCGAUGCAACGCGUAGAACCUUACCUGGGUUUGACAUGGAUCGGGAGUGCUCAGAGAUGGGUGUGCCUCUUUUGGGGUCGGUUCACAGGUGGUGCAUGGCUGUCGUCAGCUCGUGUCGUGAGAUGUUGGGUUAAGUCCCGCAACGAGCGCAACCCUUGUUCACUGUUGCCAGCACGUUAUGGUGGGGACUCAGUGGAGACCGCCGGGGUCAACUCGGAGGAAGGUGGGGAUGACGUCAAGUCAUCAUGCCCCUUAUGUCCAGGGCUUCACGCAUGCUACAAUGGCUGGUACAGAGAGUGGCGAGCCUGCGAGGGUGAGCGAAUCUCGGAAAGCCGGUCUCAGUUCGGAUUGGGGUCUGCAACUCGACCUCAUGAAGUCGGAGUCGCUAGUAAUCGCAGAUCAGCAACGCUGCGGUGAAUACGUUCCCGGGGCU